AUGACCAAUUUGAAAUGUAUCCUGGGGAAAAGAAACACUAUAAAUAAUUUCUGGCUGUAUCAGUGCCACUGGUUUGCUGGACUUUCUUUUCUGCAAAAGGGAAGAUCUGUAGCAACGCACACCUUCCGUACAGGAGAGCAUACCCUAAUAAAUCCAUGCAACUGGAACUCUGAAACAUCCAAAAUGCUAUACAUUAAUAAUAGUAAUGACCAUGAGCAAAAAUUUAUACAUAUAACCAUCUGCAGGUGCAAGCUGAAGCCAAACUCUUUGAAAAGUUUCAGUGAACUUCAUUUGCAGGGAAAGUAUUUUAACCCAGCAUGCUGUCCCCAACUUUUAUCCUGGAAUUGCUUUUGCUAACCAACCAUUCUUCAGCUAAAGUUUUAUUGUUCCUUUUUAAUAAUAGCCUAAGCAACUAUUCUUUUUUUAAUGUAAAGUCCUGGAACUUAACAAGCCGAUUAAAUGAUAGAGACAGCUUUUGCUUCUUUCUCUGCCUCUGCUUUCUUCUAGGUCUUUCUGCUCCUCCAAUUCUUAAUGAGUAUGUUAUCUAGAGCACCAGUCCAAUAGAGGUCAUCACAAAACAAGAACAAGAUAGGCUUACUUCUUCUCUACACUGUUGGUCUCCGAGUAUGGCUAGACAAUUUUGAGGCCUCCUGCUGGGAGAGGUCAUGUGGCCCAGCCCACACACUGGCCAUGAACUUCUUGUUCCUGAAAAAUGAGUUCACUGCAGUGGGAACAGUCAUCUGUCUGAGCAGACAUGUUCCCAUCUACUAUCUCAUCAUGAGUAAAGCUCUGAGCCUAAAGAUGAGGCAUGGCCAGGGGUUGCCACUCUGUGAACAAUGUACAACCUGCAUAAGCAAGAGUUGAAAUAAGCCUAGUAAAUAGGACACAUCUCUAGAAUUGUCUUUUUCCCUCCCAGACCAUCAGUAGCAAGUGAUAAAUUUUUGUUUCUUAGCUUUGAUAUCCCAACUCCUUAUUCAUAUUUUUAUUCCUGGACCAUUAAAGAGAGAAGAUAAUUCUGAAGUUCUUCUGUAUUGUGGACUAAAUGUUUGUGAUUCCUCCCAACUCAUAUGUUGAAAUUCUAACCCGCAAGGUGAGGGUAUUAGAAGGCAUAACCUUUAAGGCGUGAUUGGGUCAUGAAGGCAGAGCCUUCAUGAAGGGGAUUAGUGCCCUUAUAGCAGAAAUUCCAAGGAUGCUCGGUGGCUCAGUGGUUAAAGCGCCUGCCUUCGUCUCAGGGAGUGAUCCUGGAGUCCCGGGAUCGAGUCCCAUGGAGCCUGCUUCUCCCUCCGCCUGUGUCUCUGCCUCUCUCAAUCUCUCUCUGUGUUUCUUAUGAAUAAAUAAAUAAAAUCUUAAAAAAAAAAAAAGAAA
rnacentral:lncRNA from 1 species